GCUGGCGUGUCCGAGCGGUCUAAGGAGCCAGAUUUAAGUCUUCAGCGUGUCGAUCGCGUGGAUUCCUGGUAGUGCAAACUGCGUGGGUUCGAAUCCCACCGCCAGCA
rfam:Melampsora larici-populina 98AG31 unplaced genomic scaffold MELLAscaffold_57, whole genome shotgun sequence.